rnacentral:rRNA from 1 species
GGCGGCAUGCUUAACACAUGCAANUUCGAACGGUAACAGCAGGAGCUUGCUUCUGGCUGACGAGUGGCGGACGGGUGAGUAACGCGUGGGAACAUGCCUAUCAGUUGGGGACAACCUGUGGAAACGCAGGCUAAUACCGAAUACGUUCUACGGAAUAAAGGUGGCCUCUAGUUGUAAGCUAUCGCUGAUAGAUUGGCCCGCGUUGGAUUAGCUAGUUGGUGGGGUAAAGGUCUACCAAGGCGACGAUCCAUAGCUGGUUUGAGAGGAUGAUCAGCCACACUGGGACUGAGACACGGCCCAGACUCCUACGGGAGGCAGCAGUGGGGGAUAUUGGACAAUGGGCGCAAGCCUGAUCCAGCAAUGCCGCGUGUGUGAAGAAGGCCUGAGGGUUGUAAAGCACUUUCAAUAGUGAAGAAGGGUGUGUGCUUAAUACGCACAUGCAUUGACGUUAACUAUAGAAGAAGCACCGGCUAACUCUGUGCCAGCAGCCGCGGUAAUACAGAGGGUGCAAGCGUUAAUCGGAAUUACUGGGCGUAAAGCGCGCGUAGGUGGUUUGAUAAGUUGGAUGUGAAAUUCCCGGGCUUAACCUGGGUCGGUCAUUCAAAACUAUCAGACUAGAGUAUGGUAGAGGGUAGUAGAAUUUCUAGUGUAGCGGUGAAAUGCGUAGAUAUUAGAAGGAAUACCAGUGGCGAAGGCGACU